CUCCCUCCGCGGCCGCCUGCCUGCCGUGGCGGAGCUCUGCGCGCCACGUGCCCGGGCAACGCCGGGCCUCCUCGGGGACCUGGGCGAGGUCCUCGUCUCCUUCCCCCUUUCUCCGUCGCCGUCUUCUUUUUCUCUCCUCGUCCCCUUUCUCCCGUAUCUGCGCGGCGCGAGGAGGAGGACCGCGGGACGGUGGGUGCCAGGCGAAGGCAGCCGGGCGCCCGGGGGGAGCCGGCGCUCUUCCUCAGCCCCUCCGCUCGGCACCUGGGCGCAGGGGACGUGCCCAGGCAGCGGAGCGCAUCUCUUCGGCGGAGGCGCCCGGCCGGCGCGCCCUCCUCGGCAUCCGAGGGGCCAAACUCUUUCCCAGUGGAGCCNUUCGCCCAUCUCGGGGGCACCCUCUGGCCACCUUUUGUGGGGGAGGGAAAGGAAGAAAAGACGGGCUGCCGCUUCCCCUGGCUUUCGCCUCCUCGCCCCCCACCCCACCCCCGGCCGGGCCACCCCUCCUCCUUGAAAAUCCCCUGCAGCCACCGCGGAAGGGGUUAACCUCGGGCAGGGCGGCCGACGGUCUUGGCUGCGUGCGCCCACAUUGUUCGAGGAUUNCCCCAGAGGGGGCAGGAUUUACGCUUCAAGGGAAGGAGAGGUGGAAUCCGAAAGGGGUCGGUUGCGCCUUUAGCGCCUUGGUUUGCGUUGGNUUUUUUGCUUUUAAUUCCGCUUAGGAAGCUUAGAAACAGCGUCUCGGCCUGCUCCCCCCCCCCGGGUAAACAACAUGAGGGGAUUUAACGCGAGUGGGGCGAACGGGUCCCACAGACCGCUCUCCGUGCCCGCGCCGAACGCGCCUCGACUCCUCGACCUGCAGCUCCUGGGGGGAGCGGGGCGCUCCGUCCGACGUGGCGUACCGGGGAGGGGGUGGGGUGGGGGGCAGAGCCGCCUGUGGCCCGCCUCCCUGCUUAUCCAUCCCUGUGUGGUCCCCUCGGUUUCCCGGUGGUCGCCGGCACACGGAGCUGUCUG
rnacentral:lncRNA from 1 species